UGAAGAACCCAUUUACAAAAUAAAAGAUUGUUUAUUAUCUAGUUUUGAGAGGAUAAUUCCGCUCAGCAUA
rnacentral:misc_RNA from 1 species